rnacentral:rRNA from 1 species
CUGGCGGCAGGCCUAACACAUGCAAGUCGAACGGUAACAGGAAGCAGCUUGCUGCUUCGCUGACGAGUGGCGGACGGGUGAGUAAUGUCUGGGAAACUGCCUGAUGGAGGGGGAUAACUACUGGAAACGGUGGCUAAUACCGCAUAACGUCGCAAGACCAAAGAGGGGGACCUUCGGGCCUCUUGCCAUCAGAUGUGCCCAGAUGGGAUUAGCUAGUUGGUGAGGUAACGGCUCACCAAGGCGACGAUCCCUAGCUGGUCUGAGAGGAUGACCAGCCACACUGGAACUGAGACACGGUCCAGACUCCUACGGGAGGCAGCAGUGGGGAAUAUUGCACAAUGGGCGCAAGCCUGAUGCAGCCAUGCCGCGUGUAUGAAGAAGGCCUUCGGGUUGUAAAGUACUUUCAGCGGGGAGGAAGGUGUUGUGGUUAAUAACCGCAGCAAUUGACGUUACCCGCAGAAGAAGCACCGGCUAACUCCGUGCCAGCAGCCGCGGUAAUACGGAGGGUGCAAGCGUUAAUCGGAAUUACUGGGCGUAAAGCGCACGCAGGCGGUCUGUCAAGUCGGAUGUGAAAUCCCCGGGCUCAACCUGGGAACUGCAUUCGAAACUGGCAGGCUUGAGUCUUGUAGAGGGGGGUAGAAUUCCAGGUGUAGCGGUGAAAUGCGUAGAGAUCUGGAGGAAUACCGGUGGCGAAGGCGGCCCCCUGGACAAAGACUGACGCUCAGGUGCGAAAGCGUGGGGAGCAAACAGGAUUAGAUACCCUGGUAGUCCACGCCGUAAACGAUGUCUACUUGGAGGUUGUGCCCUUGAGGCGUGGCUUCCGGAGCUAACGCGUUAAGUAGACCGCCUGGGGAGUACGGCCGCAAGGUUAAAACUCAAAUGAAUUGACGGGGGCCCGCACAAGCGGUGGAGCAUGUGGUUUAAUUCGAUGCAACGCGAAGAACCUUACCUGGUCUUGACAUCCACAGAACUUUCCAGAGAUGGAUUGGUGCCUUCGGGAACUGUGAGACAGGUGCUGCAUGGCUGUCGUCAGCUCGUGUUGUGAAAUGUUGGGUUAAGUCCCGCAACGAGCGCAACCCUUAUCCUUUGUUGCCAGCGGUUAGGCCGGGAACUCAAAGGAGACUGCCAGUGAUAAACUGGAGGAAGGUGGGGAUGACGUCAAGUCAUCAUGGCCCUUACGACCAGGGCUACACACGUGCUACAAUGGCGCAUACAAAGAGAAGCGACCUCGCGAGAGCAAGCGGACCUCAUAAAGUGCGUCGUAGUCCGGAUUGGAGUCUGCAACUCGACUCCAUGAAGUCGGAAUCGCUAGUAAUCGUGGAUCAGAAUGCCACGGUGAAUACGUUCCCGGGCCUUGUACACACCGCCCGUCACACCAUGGGAGUGGGUUGCAAAAGAAGUAGGUAGCUUAACCUUCGGGAGGGCGCUUACCACUUUGUGAUUCAUGACUGGGGUGAAGUCGUAACAAGGUAACCGUAGGGGAACCUGCGGUUGGA